rnacentral:ncRNA from 2 species
UUAAUUUUACAGCGAAUCACUCAUAUAAUCGCGGGGAUACGGCCCGCAAGUUUCUACCAGAUUACCGUAAAUAAUCUGACUAUGGGUGAGCAAUUGUUUUCG